rnacentral:tRNA from 1 species
GGGGGGAUACCAAAGCGGUCAACUGGGGCAGACUGUAAAUCUGCUGGCGUAAGCCUUCGUAGGUUCGAAUCCUGCUCCCCCCACCA